rnacentral:rRNA from 1 species
GACGAACGCUGGCGGCGUGCUUAACACAUGCAAGUCGAGCGGUAAGGCCCUUUCGGGGGUACGACGAGCGGCGAACGGGUGAGUAACACGUGGGUGACCUGCCUUUAGCUCUGGGAUAAGCCUGGGAAACUGGGUCUAAUACCGGAUAUGACUCCGCGGUGCAUGCUGUGGGGUGGAAAGCCUUGUGCGGCUGGAGAUGGGCCCGCGGCCUAUCAGCUUGUUGGUGGGGUGAUGGCCUACCAAGGCGACGACGGGUAGCCGGCCUGAGAGGGCGACCGGCCACACUGGGACUGAGACACGGCCCAGACUCCUACGGGAGGCAGCAGUGGGGAAUCUUGCGCAAUGGGCGAAAGCCUGACGCAGCGACGCCGCGUGAGGGAUGACGGCCUCGGUU